AGAAUUUGCCCUGCUCCAGCCAGCGGCCACCCGGCAGCAGUCAUCUAGAGCAGGAUAACCAUGCAGGCAAGACCCCCACGGACCCAAGCAGAGCCAGUCCUACAUGAAGUUUCUGGAAGCACACAAACACCAGCAUGACGAAGCUUUGUGCUGCUAAUGAGAAUCCAGAAGUUCAAAGGAAGGCUUGAUCACAUAAGCCUCUACUUUCGAGAGGCUGACUGUGUUGUACUCACUGUGUCUGUUAGAUGAUAUAUUUGACACCUCUGUCCAAACACAAAGUUAAAGUAUAUUUGAUGCUGUUGACCAAUUUUGCUACUUCUGGAGCACACCAAGAGUUGAGUGAACCAGACAGUAAAUAUAAUUGUGAUCACCAAAUGUGUUACUGCCUGGCUGGAGGAAUAGUUAUCAUAAGCACCUACUGAAAGAUCACACUUCAUUAAGUACAUGUAUAAUGCAAUAAAUAAGAUUUAAAUAAACAUUCACCUAUAGUAGAGGACUUCUACACACUCAGAGAAAAUGCAUAUGUGACUACAGAGACAACCAAAAUAAUCUGCUUGCAAUAAAAGUGUGUCUAAAACUGGCACAAAUAUGUCAAUCAAAAUCAACUGCUGCACAGAGUGAAAAAUGCAUGAAGUCUAUAUUACUGAAAUCACAACAGGAUAAAACGCAGUUUACUUGCCUAUCCUGUCCUUUGCUCAACAUCUUUCUCUUGCCCUCCAGGGUGGAAUAACAGACUUUGCCAGUUGUCCUGUCCAUCAGAGUUUUACAAGAGCAUCGUUCUCACGCCUUAGAUUUCAGCAAGACAAGCUCAAAAUGAAUCUGCUGACUGCACAUUUGUGCCCAAGGUCAUUGUGAAAUCUGAUGUCUUCACAUCCCCCUUUAUCUUCCUGCAUCCUUGCUGAGGCUGUCAACCCUUAGGAGAUCCCACUUGAACAGAUAGCUCCCCAAAGUGUUACCUUACUCUUGCUACCACAUCACACUAAGUACGCUGCUUUUCUACUUCUCUUUCCACAAAUCUCUUGCUUCUGAUAGCAGUUGCAUCUCUGCCACCACUGGCAUCCCACCAGUUAAAAAGAUUAUCACAGCAUAAGUAAGAGGCAGUGGCAGUUGAUGCACCUUCUUCACAACUUGCAAAUACCUAACUUUGGAGACAAGUGCGUUGCAGCUAGAUUCGUGGGGCCAGCACCUCUGCUUCUCCACUUUGUCACAGCAAAACUAAUUUAAAGCACAUGUUUGUAAAAAAUCAUUCUCUUUCUGAAGGGCAGGUUCCCAAGGUGACCCGCAGCCUUAUCAUUUUCUAUUGGAGCACAAAGGUAGUCUCUAAAUGAAAGAUUUACUAGAGAAAAGAGAUUUUCUAAGUAUGCGCAGGAAGACUGAUUCUUCACUGGAGGGAGAAUUUAACUUCUCAUUACCAUUUGUCUUACAUGGCAGAAAUACAUUCAAAGUCAAAGAAUUUUCUAGCAUUCAUCACCAAGGCGGGUGAAAGGCAAAAGAUGCUUAUCAGCACCUCCCACAGUGAUGUUAACUGGAUGUGCAUGGAAGCUGAGAGAUUAUUAAUCACAGGACUGAAAGAUCAGGUUUUUAUAAGCUGGUUUAGAUAUCCGUGAUACUUCACCGUCUGCUUGAAACUGAGCAGAGAGAAAAGUCAGGAAUCAGAAUCAAUGCAUCCUGAGGUCUCUUGCUUCUCAUUCUUUGCUGGAGGUAGAACUUUCAUUACCUGUGUUCUUGUAAUUUGACAGUUUGUUCAAAAACUGGCACAACAUCACUUUCUGUCUACGACUUCACUUGUGCUGCUCUCUAGUGACAGCCUUAGAAUUGCCCAGUUGCAGUGCUUCACAUUUGAGGUUUUUUGAAGCUUGGCCUGUUUCAAGAAAGUGAGGACAUCUCGCUACAUGCUGUUUUGGAGGGGGAGGACACAGGAUAGAAGAGACGAAAAUACACUUCUUCAGCAAAGUGUUUUUUAUGUCAUGUUAGUGCUUUGUGUGAGGAACCAAAGUCCUGUCACUGACUAGAGAGUAGGAAGGAACAGAAAAAGAAACAUCAGUCCACCUGCAAAGGAUAGAAUCUAAUGUUAACUAGUGCAGGCAGGUUUUCAUUCUCCCAGUCCC